rnacentral:lncRNA from 1 species
UCAAAAAAUUUGUGCUUAUUUUCAACUUAGUUUUUAAAAAGUGUGCAAAAUUUGAGUUAAGAUCAAUGGUUCAUUCAUUAGUUAUUGAGGUUUAAUUUUGAUAUAGAAAUUACUAGGAUUUGGUUAGGAUUUGAUUUAGGGUUAAGAUAUGGUUAGGAUUUGAUUUAGGAUUAGGAUUUGGUUAGUGGUUGGUUUAGGGUUUAGGAUUUGAUUAGGAUUUGAUUUAGGAUUAGGAUUUGGUUUUGGAUUUAAGAUUUGGUUAGGAUUUGAUUUAGAGUUAGGAUUUGGUUAGGAUUUGAUUUAGAGUUAGGAUUUGGUUAGGAUUUGAUUAGGAUUUGAUUUAGGAUUAGGGUUUGGUUUAGGAUUUAGGAUUUGGUUAGGAUUUGAUUUAGAAUUAAGGUUUGAUUAGGAUUUGAUCAGGAUUUUAUUUGAAUUAGUUUAGGAUUUAAGAUUUAGUUAGUUUCUCGCCUAAAGUUUGAAUGAAGUAAGAUUUCAACUAGGAUUAAAUUAAGAUUGAAUUGAGAUGUAUUUGAGAUAUGUUUGUAAUCAUUUCAAUAUUUCUUUAAGAUUUCUUAUUGUUUCUUUGGAAUUCUUUUGAGGUUUCUUUGAAUUUGAUUAGAGCUUGUUUAGCAUUCUUAGUGUUCUAUUAGAAUUAAAAUUUUGUUGUUACAAUUUCCAUUCUACCUUCCACAGUCAGGUGCCCAGAGCAUUUUCAAGCAAGAUUUCACGUAUUACGACAU